AGAGGUUUGAUCAUGGCUCAGAAUCAACGCUGGCGGCGUGCCUUACACAUGCAAGUCGAACGCGAAAGCGGACUUCGGUCCGCAAGUAGAGUGGCAGACGGGUGAGUAUCGCGUGGGCGACCUACCUUCGAGUGGGGGAUAACCUUCCGAAAGGGGGGCUAAUACCGCAUAACAUCCCGCUUUUAGACAAGCGGUGAUCAAAGCCGGGGAUCGCAAGACCUGGCGCUUGUUGAGGGGCCCGCGUCCGAUUAGCUUGUUGGUGAGGUAACGGCUCACCAAGGCUCCGAUCGGUAGCCGGCCUGAGAGGGCGGACGGCCACACUGGGACUGANACACGGCCCAGACUUCUACGGGAGGCAGCAGUAGGGAAUUGUUCGCAAUGGGCGAAAGCCUGACGACGCAACGCCGCGUGGAGGACGAANAUCUUCGGGUCGUAAACUCCUGUCGAGCGGGAAGAACAGCACGCGGGUUAAUACCCCGGGUGCCUGACGGUACCGCUAAAGGGAAGCCCCGGCUUAACUCCGUGCCAACANCCGCGGUAAUACGGGGGGGGCAAGCGUUGUUCGGAUUUACUGGGCGUAAAGGGCUCGUAGCGGCCAUUAAGUCGGUUGG
rnacentral:rRNA from 1 species